rnacentral:snRNA from 1 species
GCCCUGGAUAACUAAAGCAUUAUUAAAGAUGAAAUAAUACAGGGAAGAUUAGCAUGGGAUGAUACACAAAUUUGUGAAAUAUUCCAUAUUUUU